UAAACACUGAAGAAUACGUGCUUUUCUCAGGAGCUCACAGAACUUCCUCUAAAAUAGAUCAUGUAUGAGAACACAAAGGAAGUCACAAAAAUUCUAUGUGUAGGACAAACAGUGUUGGUGUGAGUCACUAAUGGAAACCUCAGAUAAUCAGCAUUUUAAACAAGACAGAAAUUUUGCCAGAGGAAACAAUGGGAUAAUUAAGAUUGAGGAUCUCAUAUGUCCAAUGUAACAAGUCAUUUCACUUUUCACUGGAGCCUUGAAUCAGAGAAAUAUCCCCCAAACAAUCUAAAAGUAAUCCUGUGUUGAUGACCACCUAAACAAAAAUGGACUUUCUACCAGCCAAAGGAAGUACACAUUAAUUCUGGCUCAGCUACCAUCCAGAGCAAGCGGAAAGUACAGAAUACCCAUAUUUAAAUACUUCAC